UACGUAGGGCGCGAGCGUUGUCCGGAAUUAUUGGGCGUAAAGAGCGUGUAGGCGGCCAUACAGGUCAGCUGUGAAAACUCGAGGCUCAACCUCGAGACGUCGGUUGAAACCGUAUGGCUAGAGUCCGGAAGAGGAGAGUGGAAUUCCCGGUGUAGCGGUGAAAUGCGCAGAUAUCGGGAAGAACACCCGUGGCGAAGGCGGCUCUCUGGGACGGUACUGACGCUGAGACGCGAAAGCGUGGGGAGCAAACAGG
rnacentral:rRNA from 1 species